rnacentral:rRNA from 1 species
CCUACGGGGUGCUGCAGUGGGGAAUUUUGGACAAUGGGCGCAAGCCUGAUCCAGCUAUUCCGCGUGUGGGAUGACGGCCCUCGGGUUGUAAACCUCUUUUGUCGGGGAGCAAAAGACGCCACGCGUGGCGUUCCGAGAGUACCCGAAGAAAAAGCAUCGGCUAACUCCGUGCCAGCAGCCGCGGUAAUACGGAGGAUGCGAGCGUUAUCCGGAUUUAUUGGGUUUAAAGGGUGCGCAGGCGGAAGAUCAAGUCAGCGGUAAAAUUGAGAGGCUCAACCUCUUCGAGCCGUUGAAACUGGUUUUCUUGAGUGAGCGAGAAGUAUGCGGAAUGCGUGGUGUAGCGGUGAAAUGCAUAGAUAUCACGCAGAACUCCGAUUGCGAAGGCAGCAUACCGGCGCUCAACUGACGCUCAUGCACGAAAGUGUGGGUAUCGAACAGGAUUAGAUACCCUUGUAGUC